rnacentral:rRNA from 1 species
UACGAAGGGGGCAAGCGUUGUUCGGAAUUACUGGGCGUAAAGGGCGCGCAGGCGGCUGAUCAAGUCAGAUGUGAAAUUCCCGGGCUCAACCUGGGGGCUGCAUUUGAUACGUGCGGACUUGAGUGGGGAAGAGGGUCGUGGAAUUCCCAGUGUAGAGGUGAAAUUCGUAGAUAUCAGGAGGAACACCGGUGGCGAAGGCGGGUCUCUGGGCAGUAACUGACGCUGAGGAGCGAAAGCGUGGGGAGCGAACAGG